rnacentral:lncRNA from 1 species
AAAGGACACAUGGAGGGAGGGGUUGCAAUGUCUCUGCAGUGGCUGUGGCUAAAACCUAAUUUUCUUGAGCACAUAUUAUAGGCUGUGUGCUAUGCUAAGCUCUUGCCAUACAUGAACUUAUUUCACCCUCACAACAACCCAAUUAAUGAAUCCAUUCAAUAAAUAUUUAUUGAGUACUUGCUAGAGACAAGGAAACUAAGGCCUCCUGGAGUUAACUUACUGGCUCAAGUCACUAAGAGACAGGGUCCAUUGUUAUGCUCUUCCUGCCUUAGUGAGACAAGAAAUAAGAACCACUUGAAGCUUCUGCCAAAAAACAGAGACUUUCUUCUCCCAAGACAAAGAAGCAUAAAACAUAAGGGAGACGGAACUGCACCUGCUUUGUGCCUUGAUGCUCAGGCAAAGAGAACACGAAGAUAUUCGAGGUUCCAAGUGGUCAGGUCCUGUUUUCUCCCCUCUCGGAAGAAGGGUCGGGGUUGGAGGGAAUGCGAAUGGAGGGAGAGGUGGCAAACAGUUGCAAGUUCUCUGACAAAGCAGCUCCCUCAGAUUCCCCUUCCUCUCCUCAGAGUGGACUUUGAGGAGAGGCUUUAGAGAGCAGUGAUUUGUCAGCAUUGCCAUCAAGACUGCUGAAGAAUUCACUAGAUGGUGGCUAAGCCUACGUUAAGAACCUAAAUUUACCAUCCAGCCUCAGAGGAAUGACUUUACGUGUCGAAGUGGUGGCUUGAGAAAUGAGGAGAGCAGAGGGGUGGAAGGGUUCAAUUACAUAAAAGAUACAGAUAUAUAAUUUUAC